AGAGUUUGAUCCUGGCUCAGGACGAACGCUGGCGGCGUGCUUAACACAUGCAAGUCGAACGAUGAAGUUAUGACGGAGGCUUCGGCCGACUGAAUGAUGGAUUAGUGGCGGACGGGUGAGUAACGCGUGAGUAACCUGCCUUUCAGAGAGGAAUAACAUUUGGAAACGAAUGGUAAUACCACAUAACAUUACGUUCUCGCAUGGGGAUGUAAUCAAAGAUUUAUCGCUGAGAGAUGGACUCGCGUCCGAUUAGCUGGAUGGUGAGGUAACGGCCCACCAUGGCGACGAUCGGUAGCCGGACUGAGAGGUUGAACGGCCACAUUGGGACUGAGACACGGUCCAGACUCCUACGGGAGGCAGCAGUGAGGAAUAUUGGUCAAUGGGCGAGAGCCUGAACCAGCCAAGUAGCGUGCAGGAUGACGGCCCUAUGGGUUGUAAACUGCUUUUAUAAGGGAAUAAAGUGAGUCUCGUGAGACUUUUUGCAUGUACCUUAUGAAUAAGGACCGGCUAAUUCCGUGCCAGCAGCCGCGGUAAUACGGAAGGUCCGGGCGUUAUCCGGAUUUAUUGGGUUUAAGGGGAGCGUAGGCCGGAGAUUAAGCGUGUUGUGAAAUGUAGAUGCUCAACAUCUGCACUGCAGCGCGAACUGGUUUCCUUGAGUACGCACAAAGUGGGCGGAAUUCGUGGUGUAGCGGUGAAAUACUUAGAUAUCACGAAGAACUCCGAUUGCGAAGGCAGCUCACUGGAGCGCAACUGACGCUGAAGCUCGAAAGUGCGGGUAUCGAACAGGACUAGAUACCCUGGUAGUCCGCACGGUAAACGAUGGAUGCCCCGCUGUUGGUCUGAAUAGGUCAGCGGCCAAGCGAAAGCAUUAAGCAUCCCACCUGGGGAGUACGCCGGCAACGGUGAAACUCAAAGGAAUUGACGGGGGCCCGCACAAGCGGAGGAACAUGUGGUUUAAUUCGACGCAACGCGAAGAACCUUACCAAGUCUUGACAUCCCUUGACAGGCAUAGAAAUAUGUUUUCUCUUCGGAGCAAGGAGACAGGUGGUGCAUGGUUGUCGUCAGCUCGUGUCGUGAGAUGUUGGGUUAAGUCCCGCAACGAGCGCAACCCUUGUGAUAUGUUACUAACAUUGAGUUGAGGACUCAUAUCAGACGGCCGGUGAUAAACCGGAGGAAGGUGGGGAUGACGUCAAAUCAUCAUGCCCCUUAUGGCCUGGGCUACACACGUACUACAAUGGCGUCUACAAAGAGUGGCAAGCCUGUGAAGGCAAGCGAAUCUCAUAAAGGACGUCUCAGUUCGGAUUGAAGUCUGCAACCCGACUUCAUGAAGCUGGAAUCGCUAGUAAUCGCGAAUCAGCAUGUCGCGGUGAAUACGUUCUCGGGCCUUGUACACACCGCCCGUCAAG
rnacentral:rRNA from 1 species